UGCGAGUCGAACGGGGCCUGAUCUACACUUGCUGCAUUGAUGGCGAGUGGCGAAGGGGUGAGUAAUACGUCGGAACGUGCCCUGUAGUGGGGGAUAACUAGUCAAAAGAUUACCUAAUACCGCAGACGAACUGAGGGUGAAAGUGGGGGACCGCGGGGCCUCCUGCUAUAGGAUCGGCCGAUGUCUGAUUAGCUAGUUGGUGGGGUAAAGGCCCACCAAGGCCACCAUCAAUAUCUGGUCUGAGAGGACCAUCACCCACACUGGGACUGAUACACGGCCCAAACUCCUACGGGAGGCAGCAGUGGGGAAUUUUGGACAAUGGGCGAAAGCCUGAUCCAGCAAUGCCGCGUGUGUGAAGAAGGCCUUCGGGUUGUAAAGCACUUUUGUCCGGAAAGAAAUGGCUCUGGUUAAUACCUGGGGUCGAUGACCGUACCGGAAUAAUAAGGACCGGCUAACUACGUGCCACCACCCGCGGUAAUACGUAGGGUCC
rnacentral:rRNA from 1 species